CUGACAGCCCUGAGGACUGAAGCCCUCUCCUAACCACAGAAAAGAUAUAGUGAAAGCAGUGUGGGAUGUACCUCACCGCAUUGCCAUGCACAUGUAGGCCUCAGAAGGGUCACCUCUGGACUGGCAGAAGGAUUCAAUAUUACAUCCUUCACUGCUUAUCUCUGUUUGGAAAAG
ensembl:misc_RNA